AGAUUGAACGCUGGCGGCAUGCCUAACACAUGCAAGUCGAACGGCAGCGCGGGGGCAACCCUGGCGGCGAGUGGCGGACGGGUGAGGAAUACAUAGGAAUCUACCCUGUCGUGGGGGAUAACGUAGGGAAACUUACGCUAAUACCGCAUACGACCGAGAGGUGAAAGCGGCGGACCGCAAGGCGUCGCGCGGCUGGAUGAGCCUAUGUCCGAUUAGCUAGUUGGCGGGUAAGCCCACAAGGCGACGAUCGGUAGCUGGUCUGAGAGGAUGAUCAGCCACACUGGGACUGAGACACGGCCAGACCUACCGUACGGGAGCAGUCGAGGUAGGGGAAUAGUUGGAACAAGUGGGACGCGAAGCCUGAACUCCAGUACAAGUUCG
rnacentral:rRNA from 1 species